GUUCGGAUAGAUCAGACCUGGAUCAGACUCUUCGUUGGCCUCGUUUUUAGGUGUUUGAUCCGUGACGUUUCGUCGAAAAAUCACAAGCGCGCAUGCCGUAGGUGUUUGCCUGGUUGCAAGAUCUUGCCGAUUUCAACGUUUUUCCACCUCUUCGGUUGGCGUACGCUGAACUGGACCCUCGCAGCAAGAAUGGCACGUGGGAAUUGACACCGCGAUCGUGGAACACAUGGCUGAUCUGCCUCGAAUAACUGCAAGCCGGCGCGUGCGUAGUGCCG